UAAAAGAAGUGACGUCAUGGAAGAAGGACCAGGAUGAGAGGGAAAAAAGUCAAAAAACUUUAAUGUGAACAAUCACAGGACAGCUCUGGAUUAAUAAGAUUAUAAUGGUUGUAAUUAAUCUCGAUUAAUCCAUGAAAUAAAACUGACUAUUUUUACAGAAUAAUUGUUACAGUCAUUUUAACAACUUCAACAGAAAGCAGUCAGUGACGUGCGGUCAGGAGAGGCAGUAUUUCGCGAUCAAAUACAGAGCAGAAACCCCGGAUGAAGCAGUGGAGAGCUGUGCCUCGUAUCUGACUGCGCGAUCCAAUACAAACUGGGUCACAUGACGCUUGCCGGUUUCUGUUCCUCAGCCAAUGAAGUUCAGAGAAAGUCAGAGAAACAUUACUCUGCCUCACCUCAAGGGGUCGUACGUGAACUGACAGGUGCUCUCCAACUGGCUUCAACAGGUAAUUGAAAGUCGGCGUUUGGACUUCCGGUCCAAACAGGAAGUGAUAAGUGAUGGAAGACAAACGCCGGAGCUAAAAGGUUAGUUUGCUAACUACGGGACAGAAAAGUCGUUAUUUUUAAGUGGAGGCUGUGUGGCUGUCCUGUAACAAACCUCCUUUACUGCUUUUUUGUGUCUUGUCAUUCUCAUCGUGUGAUAACGUCUGGACUAACUCGGGAUACUGUGACCUGAAACAUUUACAAAGAAGCCUCAGCAGACACGAAAGAUCAGCCACGGACAUUCAAAGCGGGAUUUCUUUAAAAACCGUUGGAAAUUCAAGAAUCGAUUUGGCAUUGGAUGAGCAACGCAGUGUAAACAUUAGCAUCCACAGUGCUAAGGUGAGGGGAAACCGAGAGAUACAACCAUGGACUUCAUCUAUAAGUGAAGGGUCUGCAUCAGUGUGGGUUUGAUGGCGUCUUUCAUGAGGACAGCCAGCGCUCCGCUCACACCCUAAAAACGAAGAAGAAAAGAAGGGCUGUCUGCCAGAGCCAGGAUGGCCAUGAUCUCACUGGCCACUGCAAUGUCGAACCCAGUCUGGAGUGUGAGAAAGGCUCAUGUCAGUACGAGUGACUACCUCUCUGCCAGGUGAUUUUCGAAGGGUCAAGAUCAAGGCGGACAAAGGCGCUAACUUCCUCCGGUGUUAAAGAAGCUGGCUCCGUUUUCUUGAUGCCAAGACGCUGCAGUUGCAAAGAGAUGAAGACACUGAGAAAUGCUCAGACAUUCAUCAAACAGAGCUGACAAACACUGGGGUUACUCCAGUUGAAUUUCACACCCCCAGAACAUUUACCUCAAAGACAAUGUUGUGCCACAGCUCCAGGGGUGAGGUCUGUGCACAUCUCCCCCUAGGCACAGAGACGUACAAGCACAGUCAGAGGCAGACAAUAGGACAGAGAAGGUACAAAGGAGGUAUGCUGAGAGGUGGACUCUGAGUGAACCAUUUCACUCCAACAUUAAAUGCAGCCGGGCUUCAAGCUCCUCCGGCAGCAAACCAAUCUCCUCAGCCAAUUGAUUCACUGGUUUGGGCACCUGAGCUCUGGAGAUUUCUAUAUCUCUACCAAUACAGAAAAGUGAAAUUCUUCAUAAAACACACAUGUGUGAGUGGCUGUAGUGCCAGGCGGCGUAAACUCCAGGGUCGGUACUGCUUCUCCUGGAUCCACCGACUGCAGCUGUGCACCACAUUCUAAAAAGCUGUGGGAAUGCAAUAUAAUUAAGAAGUACCUGGCUCCAGAGUGGACUCGCAGCAAAUAACAGAAGCAUCUGGCUUAAACCAGACUCUGCAGAGCACAGUCAAAGGGUCCGCCCUCUCCAACCAACAAGACCGUCUUACCUUUCAGAGGUGCAUCUGCAGAAACCAUUGGAUUUAACGUUUCAGGGUGUCAAGCACACGACUUGUGAGUGAAGCCGGGGGAAGGUGGAGGUAGAUGCCGUGCACCCUGGGGUCCUCAUUAAGUUUCAACACUUCCUCUAUGACCUGAAGACAGAGGAACUGUGUCACAGUCCAAAUCAUCAUCCUUCCAGAACUUUAUCCCGGAGUUGACCGCUAUUUUCGGACUGGGACCGCCGCUGGUGGAGGUGCUGGCUUCCCGGAAAACUAACCGGUAUUUGGCACCAGUGGC